ACUGCCCCGGCGGGGUGGUCGCUCAGUUUAUGAGCUCAUCUGCCCUCUCCAGUCAUGGCCCAGCACACACGUCCAAGUGCCGAGGUUGGCGACCCGUGGGGCGUUUCUGCGGGUGGAUGCCCACCUGCUGCAGGUGAUCCAGGUAGCUGAGAUGCUCCACGUGGACAUCUUCGCUGGCCCUGGAGACGCGUCACCCCAGCAGGUGGAGAGGGCGGUCUCUCCAGAAGGGGAACUUUCAACUCAAACCCGCACCAGCCAGGAGCGAGUUUGUCCCCAAGACUUCAUCACAGCCGUCUUCUGGUUUGGUGUGUUCUCCUGAUGGAUAUCUUUUAAACAUCAGUGCCCAUGACAAAACGUAAUAAACAUCAGGACAGGGGCCUGCUGAAGAGUCAUUCCUAGUGAUAGAGUUUUAAAAACAUACGUUCCCACUAUGCGUAUGCUUAUUUCAUUUUUCAGGCCUUUCUGUCUUUUGCUCUGUGAGAGUGAGACUCUGGGGGACUCUAGCUAGUUGGUAUGAGCUAAACAGGUUACUAGAGAGCACUUGGCAGAUUGCUGCAGGCAGCUCUCUUCCAGGCUAUAAACCGACCCAGCUCUAAAAUUUAACUUGCGCGCCUAUUCCUAAAAUGACCGUCGGAGGGCGCGAGCGUGCCAGGAUUGAAUUCCGCCUCUGCCAGGCUCGGGAUCAUUUACAUUGUAAAUUUUACAGACAGCACGGGGAUGGGACCCCGAGGAACGAAACGUCACAGACGCCUCGGAGUGAGUUGGGGUACAUCCUCUGCAACGUCGAGAGCUGUCUCGGAGCAGCCCCCUUCACUCUUUCCUCGCCCCUGACCUUGACCUGAUCCUGGCUUCUGUAUCAAAACGAAUCUGGAGGUGGCAGGUCUGCCUGCGGUGGAGCACGUGUGCAGUUGGACUGUCAAUGCCCAACUCUACCCAGUUCCCUGGUGGCGUCAUGGUUAUGCCUCUGUCUGCUAAC